rnacentral:rRNA from 1 species
CGGUGUAGGAUGAGCUCGCGGCCUAUCAGCUUGUUGGUGGGUAAUGGCCUACCAAGGCGGCGACGGGUAGCCGGCCUGAGAGGGUGGACGGCCACAUUGGGACUGAGAUACGGCCCAGACUCCUACGGAGGCAGCAGUGGGGAAUAUUGCACAAUGGGCGCAAGCCUGAUGCAGCGACGCCGCGUGGGGAUGACGGCCUUCGGGUUGUAAACUCCUUUCGCUAGGGACGAAGCUUUUUGUGACGGUACCUAGAUAAGAAGCACCGGCUAACUACGUG